rnacentral:rRNA from 1 species
AACGAACGCUGGCGGCAUGCCUAACACAUGCAAGUCGAACGAGAACAGCGGGCCGAUUGGCGCACGGCUGCGUAACGCGUGGGGACCGGCCCUUAGGUUCGGAACAACUCGCCGGAAGGGGUGCUAAUACCGGAUAAGUUCCUCGUACCCAAGAUUUGCCGACUUUGGAUGUGCCCGCGUUGGAUUAGCCAGGUGGUAGGGUAAGAGCCUAUCAAGGCGACGAGUCAUAGCUGGUAAGAGAGGCUGAUCAGCCACACUGGGGCUGGGCCACGGCCCAGACUCUUACGGGAUGCAGCAGUGGGUAAUAUAGGCCUGUGGGCGGUAGGCUGAUCCAGCAAUGCCUCGUGAGUGAUGAAGGCGUUAGGGUUGUAAGGCUCUUUUACCCGGGAUGUUAAUGACAGUACCCGGAGAAUAAGCACCGGCUAACUCCGUG